GACGAACGCUGGCGGCGUGCUUAACACAUGCAAGUCGAACGGAAAGGCCCUGCUUGCAGGGUACUCGAGUGGCGUACGGGUGAGUAACACGUGGGUGAUCUGCCCUGCACUUCGGGAUAAGCCUGGGAAACUGGGUCUAAUACCGGAUAGUAGCCAUUUUUAGUGUGAUGGUUGGAAAGUUUUUUCGGUGUAGGAUGAGCUCGCGGCCUAUCAGCUUGUUGGUGGGGUAAUGGCCUACCAAGGCGGCGACGGGUAGCCGGCCUGAGAGGGUGGACGGCCACAUUGGGACUGAGAUACGGCCCAGACUCCUACGGGAGGCAGCAGUGGGGAAUAUUGCACAAUGGGCGCAAGCCUGAUGCAGCGACGCCGCGUGGGGGAUGACGGCCUUCGGGUUGUAAACUCCUUUCGCUAGGGACGAAGCUUUUGUGACGGUACCUAGAUAAGAAGCACCGGCUAACUACGUG
rnacentral:rRNA from 1 species